AUAGGCCAGCAGUUGUAGAUCCAAUUCUGUCCCUAGCCUGGGAACCUCCAUAUGCUAUGAGUGUGGCCCUAAAAAACAAAAAAAAAAAAAAAAAAAAAAGUUAGACUUUAAAAAAAUACACCUCCUAGAAUGUUUUGCUCUUUUUUUUAAAAAAUAUAAGUAUUUUUGGCCCCAAAUUGUAAGGAUUAGACUUUUGAGGUGUUUUCUAGUCCAGAAGUAUCAAGUAGUACAUAAAAAUCCUUUUUUUUGGCUUUUUUGGGGUUUUUUUUUUGGCCGCACUCAAGGCAUGUGGAUUUUCUGGAGCCAGGGGUUGAACCCACACCACAGUGAUGCCCCAAGCUGCUGCAGUGACAACACUGGAUUCUUAGCCUGCUGUGCCACAUGGGAACACCUGGUAUUUUUAUAUUUAUUUAUUUAUUUUUUCUUUUUAGUGCUAUACCUGCAGCAUAUGGACAUUCCCAGGUUAGGGGUCAAUUGGAGCUAUAGCUGCUGGCCACAGCCUUAGCAAAGCUGGAUCCAAGCCGUGUCUUUGACCUAUACCACAGUUCACGGCAAUGCCAGAUCCUUAACCCACUGAGUGAGGCCAGGGAUCAAACCUGCAACCUCAUGGUUCCUAGUCGGAUUUGUUUCUGCUGUGCCACGAUGGGAACUCCCUAUUUUAAUUUUUUAUCUAUCUAUUUAUUUAUUUAUUUAUUUAUUUGUCUUUUUUAGGGCUGCACCCUCAGCAUUUGGAAAUUCUCAGGCUAGGGGUCAAAUCAGAGCUGUAGCUGCUGGUCUACAUCACAGCCACUCGGGAUCCAAGUCGCUUCUAUCUGUGACCUACACCACAGCUCCUUAACUCCUUAACCCCCUGAAUGAGGCCAGGGAUCAAACCUGCAUCCUCAUGGAUACUAGUGGGGUUCCUUAACUGCUGAGCCACAACAGGAACUCCCCAAUUUCCGGUACUUUUAAAUAAUUCAUAUCAUCACUAUUAGAUGGUGAGGAUAAUAUGUAAUUUUUUAGUUUUGAAGUGGUUAACAAUAGUUGGAUGUGGUUAUGUCUGGUCAUGGCAUAUCGAAGGAUUCAUACUAUCUCAAGCAAAAUAAUGAAUAUGAGAACUUAAAUUUGGAUUUGUGCUCAAUUAAUGCUCAAAUUUGGUUUUCCACUGUCCAUUCCCCUCCCCACCUUAACCACUGACAAGUAUAUUCUAAUAUCCAGAUCUCUGGUGAGUUGAAGACAGAAAGAGAGGAGAAUCACUGGUUUAGAUAGGUAUCCAGAUUAUCUAUCCUAGUCCUCUACUCAGAAAUCUUUAACUCAUCCUCAUUCUGCUGAAAUGCAUUAAAUUGUAGUGUAUAGCCAAUUGUUGUUAUGCAACACUGGCCUGUCAGAUAGAUGGAAGAUAAGUUUAGCCUUACAGAGAAUCUUGAGAAGAGUCAGAAGGAGAAAUAGGAGCAGGUCCAUUGAGAGGUGAUCAGGGAAGCACAUUCUCACCCGCUGAGGCAAGGGUGUAUUCUGUUUGUCAGUAAAUAACAAAUGGGGGGAUCAUUUCACUGCAUCUGUUUACUAGGGGGUACUUAACUAGAUAAUGCUCUAUAGGUCUCAUGUUUCUGUAUGUCCUCUAAGCAGAGAUACUGACUGCCUUUUUUAUGAAAUAUUUUUCAAGGACAUUUGUAUGAUAGAGAAGAGAUAAUGUCUGGUCCAGAAGAAAGAGCAGGUUUGCUUAGCGCCUUGGAAAAUAAAGAUCAUCUCCUUUUGGAGCAAAGGGCGCUGUAAGAGAUUUGGGUUCCCUGUGCUAAGGGUCUGUCUCCUGUAAUGCAGUCCUCUUCACGUACAGGUGGCACCUGGCCCUUCUUUUACAUUGAACUGUGGGAAUUGAAGCUUGGGAAUCAGAACAAGAAAAUGAUACUUGGACUCUUUCUGAGAAUAAUUAAGUCCUUUGUGUCUGACCCUGGAAUCUCUUGUCUUCUGCCAGCACCCACAAAACUGUGCCACACUGCCUUGUUGGCUUACAGGUAGGAUGGAGUCUCAGAUCCCUCACAGUUCUUGAUGGUUUUGGUGGUGAGAAUGUGAUGAAGAGAUGUGGUCUCCUAGGAGAGGAAAGAUGAUGGCCUUACAGGCCAGAUGCUGAGAUGAGACAACCCUGGUAUCCAGUAGUAAGUGCUCUGGCUCAAGUAUUGGGUGGGUUAGGGGACCAAGAUCUCCUACCAUCCUACUUGUUAAUCAUUAGAGGCUGAGCAGUGAGAGGUAGGAUUGGAAUCCACUGCCUACAAGGUGCCUUAGUGGUUGGCUGCACCCCUCUGGGCAGGAAUUGGGAGAAGGAAUCAUUUUUAUUUUUUAAAAUUUAUUUAUUUAUUUAUUUAUUUAUUUAUUUAUUUAUUUUAGGGCUGCACCUGAGGCGUAUAUAAAUUCCCAGGCCAGCCUACAGCACAGCCAUAACAAUGCCAGAUCCAAGAUGCAUCUGCAACCUAUACCACAGCUCACAGCAAUGCCAGAUCCUUAACCCACUGAAUGGAGCUAGGGAUUGAACCCAUGUCCUUAUGGAUACUAGUUGGUCUUGUUACAGCUGAGCCACAGUGGGGACUCUGGAAGAAGAAAUCUUAUGAUAAAGGGAUCGCUCUAAAGACAAUGUGGUGGUUGCUGCUAACCGAGAGAAGCCCCCAAACUGACAUGAGUGGUGACAGCAGUGAGGGACAUGGUAUUCACUAGACACCUUUGGGGGGGUCUGAAACAUUUGACCUUUAUUUAGUGCAUGCCCACUGAAAUCGAAUGCAGAGCCUUGCUUAUCAACUUGGAGCUGCUCUUACUCUCCGUGUCCCCUUCUCUUCCACCCCAACUUCAGUUUCAUUAAAGAGGAAGACGAUCAAGGGUGAGUCCCAUGCCCCCUGUCUGAGUAUCCUGGGAGGCUUCACAGAGGAGAGAGCACCAAACCUGCAUAGCUCUGUUGGAUGUAGCCCCAAGUCAUUAUCCUACCCGUUUUUGUGGGAGGAGAGCCCCCAGAAUUCUGUGGGUGGAGUUUGGGCAAUUUUUGCAGUGGAGAAGGGAAAUUUGUGGCCCUGUUGGGUGGAGGCCUUUGAGCCUACUCAGUGUGUGGUUGUAGCUUCCAUAAGUUGGUGUAAAUCGUAUCCAUGUUCACAUGUGUGUGCUGUGAAUGCUUGAAAAUGCCAGAGGUCAUUCUCAGGUUUGGGAAGAGGUGCAUGUAGAGGAUGUACUGGUACCUUUGGAUCCCUGCAACUCUAAUGACCCCUUUGAGCUACAGGUCUCUGUGACUGAUGACUUAACCAGUUAGAGUCUGGCAAAAAGGAACAUCUUUCUUCUGAGAUGUUCCUGGGCUGUUUGGACUCCUUGGCCCCCUCGCCCCCUGAUACCACUCUCCUUUUGAAAAACAGCCAGGAACUUGCUACUGAGCUGUUCUUGGAACUGACUCAUGGAAGCUUUGUGACUCUGGCAUGAGAGUCUCCAGGGUGAAGCAACUGGAGUCAAAGAGGAGCAAGAUGGGGAGGGCCAGACCGGCCUCACUGUCAGAUGGAAAUGCUGAAGUCCAUAGCCAGGGCAACACCGGAUCCGAGACUCAUCUGCGAUCCGUGCUGCAGCUUUCGGCAGUGCUGGGUUCUUAACCCGCUGAACAAGGUCAGGUAUCAAAUCUACAUCCUCACUGACACUAUGUUGGGUUCUUAACCCAUUGAGCCACAAUGGGUCCACAACUCCAGGUCCGAAUAUCUUAAGGCAGUUUGGUCACUGAAUGUGGCUCUGCUCAGAAAGGGACCAUCUUCUCUCAGCCACAUUCUGGUUAAUGAUUAGGAUAAUCUAUUAUUAUUUUACAAUUUGGGAUUUCUCCCUGACAGUAUCUGGGCAUGAUGCUUUUCUAUUCACACAUAGCAGCCCCAAGCCAGUAAAUUGAAUGGCCAGCUAAAAGGGGGCCUAGGGUUUUAAACUGGCUCAGCCUCCUAGAUUUUCUUGUUGGGCUGAGAUAGCCCAUAUCACAAUGCUGAUCAUCACGUGGUUAAGUACACCUCCUCGGGACUCACCCAAUGGUUCCUGCAGGCCAAAGUUGGGAGGCAUAAUGAGUUUCUGUAAGUUUUAUAAAAUGCCUUAUCCCUUUUGUCCCUGACUCUUCCACAUGAGAGAUCUUCGUGUGAGUAAAGAUGAUUGGAUGAAGGGUGAAGUUAUAGCUCCUGGAAUGGGGCAAACUGAUUUUGUGGUGUUGGAGAGAAAGAACAAGUCCAACACCCAAGGUCAGAACACUUUAGGCUGCAGGAGAGGUGGAGGAAACUCUAAAUGAUCUCCUGUCUUUCCGAGUCACCUUGGAUCUUUCCUCAGGAAGGAGAAUGCCCUGGUGUGGCCCUCCCAGUGUAGCAACCACCUUAAAUGGAACUGCCUGCUGAAUCUGCCACCCCACCCCUACCUCCACCUCUACCCCCACCUCCAGAUGGCUCUGACCAUAAUUUUGAUUGCCAUUCCCUUUGAUCUUGUCAAGAAAUCUAUCAGAUAAAGCAGAGGAUCACCCCAGAUUCUGCAUGUCUCAUAUAAAACACUGGUUAACACUUUCUGAUGUCUUCCAGUCCCAUAACCAUUGCUUCAUCUUUCUAGGGGGUAAACACAUGCCACCUUUCUGGGGGUUUGGAUAGAAAGGACAAUUUGGACUGUCAGCCCUCAGACAAUCCCUCCAAAAACAGGGACUAGGUUCAGUUAUUCAAACUGAGCUGAAAACUCUAACUGAAGCUUACCAGCUUGCUAGGAGGCCCUGUGAGGAAGUGUGAACCUGUGCCCUUUGAAUGAUGGAGGCUCACUUGAGGCUAAUAACUGUAAAAACAUUUUCUUUCCAGGGACCCCAUGUGUGACUUCUGGACUUUGUUUCUUGUGUGGAAGCCAGGAGUUACUUGUAUCUCCUGAAAACCCCCAUCGGGGCAGUCUAAGAGACCUGUGAGUGUUGAGAAACACCACUGGCAGAUCACAUGGCCCUCAGAUGCCUGCAAAGAUCUCACACAAAUGGGGCUCUCUGGAAAGGUAACUGAUUCAUUCUUCACUCACACCUUGUGGACAGCGAUCCCUCUAACAGGAGUCACCCAACUAGAAAAGGUGGUACAGAAUUUUGUGAUUUUCGCUGAAGUGAUCAGUGACACUGCCUUGACCAUGGAAGGAUUUCAGCUUGGCUUCAGCUCCUUAGCCAAAGCUGUUAUGAAUGAGAGGGUUGCCCUACACUUCCUCCUCAUGGGCCAAGGUGGGUUUUGUGUGAUCUCAAGUACAUCUUGCUGUGCAUGGAUUAAUGCCUUAGACCAAGUGGGAAGGUCAUUACAGAAAUGUGGCUUUUCAAAGUAGACUCCGAUAGUUUUGGGGAUUUGUUAAGCAGGUUGGUCCUAGGACACUGGGGGCCAUGGCUGAGAUCCAUAUAGGAUGAUCUUAUCGUGUCAGAGUCCUAUUUGACAGUAGCCUUAAUUAAAUGCUGUGCUAGACAAGUUGAUUUGGUUCCAGCCUCUGUUGGUUAGAUUAACUACAGUGGCUGAUGGACUGGGGUGGCAUAAUUAUGUGCAGAAACUAACAUGUGUGGAAAGUGGGUAUUGUUGGACGAUAGCUUUCUGUAGACCUCUCACAUUUCUGCAUGUCUUGUAAACAGUGGUCCUGAGUGUCUUUGUUCCAGACUAUCUGUUCAAGGAUGUUUGUAAAGGAAACAACCUUGGAAGAUGCAGCGUCACCUUUUAGGGUGAAUGCUUAGAACCUUGGAAGAUACAGUGUUUACCUCUGGGGCAAAGGGCAGAGAAAUGUUUAUUGUCCAGUAUAAAAAGAUUUGGGGAGGUCCUGUCAUGGCUCAGUGGUUAACGAAUCCAACUAGGAACCAUGAGGUUGCUGGUUCAAUCCCUGGCCUAGCUCAGUGGGUUAAGGAUUCAGCAUUGCCAUGGGCUGUGGUGUAGGUUGCAAACACAGCUCGGAUCCCACGUUGCUGUGGUUCUAGCAUAGGCCAGCGACUGGCCCGCUAGCCUGGGAACCUCCAUAAUGCUG
rnacentral:lncRNA from 1 species